rfam:Spirochaetaceae bacterium 4572_7 ex4572_7_scaffold_31120, whole genome shotgun sequence.
GCGUCUGUCGUAUAAUGGCUAUUACCCCAGCCUUCCAAGCUGAUGACGUCGGUUCGAUUCCGAUCAGACGCU